UGUUACAUUGUAGUGUUUCCCGCUAUUGAUAAUUUGACUAAAAUAGACGAAUAGCAAGCCUUUGCACGUUUGCCUUGUUUCGAGAAGGAUGUGAAAAAUCUGUGAACACUCCUUUCAUCUCUAAAUGCGUCGACAUGUGUAUAAUGUCGACAUGUGUAUAUAGAGGAUUGGCAUGAUGGGCUUAUAUGAAUUCAAAUGGAUGACAGGCGUAUUGAUGGAACAUUCUUAACCUACCUGCGAGUAAUAUUUAUAUAUUUUUUCGUGACAGCACGUGAAAAUGGCGACCGGGACGGGUUGGCAGCAACCGUACAAUGCUGCUUCGGGCAACAAUCCCCUUGCUCCCGCUGCCUCUGGAUCAACAGCGACCAGUCCAUCCUCCACAUCCAGUAAUUUACUGUACGAUUCUUCCCUGACCAUGGAAUACAGUCAAGUUCUGCACCUGAAGAUGAGUAAAAAAAUUGCACAACUCACUAAGGUCAUUUAUGCUCUCAACACAAAAAACGACGAACACGAAGACGCCAUCCAGUCUCUGAAAGAGGCCCAUGAUGAGGAGUUGCAGCACAUCUUGACAGAGACAUGGGAGAAGAUCCUCCACUACAAAAGCAAGAUCGGCAACAAGGCCGACCUGAAACGGCGCCUGCAGUCCUUGGAGGAAUCCGUGGAGCUGCACGAACACAUGAAACGUCAAGCGCUGGCCGAGUUCGAUAUGUACCGCCAGCGCAUGGAAGACACGCAGUUGUGCACGGAGGCCCAGCACACUCAACGUGUGGUCUCCAUGUCCCGAGAAGUGGAGGAUAUGCGGCAUGAGUUUGAAGAGAAGCUACGCUCCUUUAGCCAGGUUCAGGCCCAGUUUGAGCAGGAGAAACGACGGGCGCUGGAUGAGCUGAAAUCAGCCCAUCGCCUGGAAGUGCUGGAGCUGCUGGAGAGCCAGCAGAACCAGAGUGCGUCUUCCAGCCUGGAGCAGGAGAAGCUAGCUGAUCUCCAUCGUACAGAGCUGGAAUCGCUCAUGGAGCGGGUUGAGGAGUUGACACAGGACAAGGUCAGGAUGGUUGAGGAAUAUGAGGCGAAGUUGAGCAAAGCUCAAGGUUUCUAUGAGCGUGAGUUGGAAGCCAUGAGGCGUACGCAACAGCUCACCACAGAGAACUUGCUGGCCUGGAGGAGGACAGAGGUGGACCUAAGGAAGGAGUUUCAGCUGCAGGAAGCGGCGCUUCAGAGGACAUUGUGUAAACUCCGUGCUGAUUUACACAGAGCUCAGGAGGAGGCACGAGAGAGCAGGGACAAAACCAACAGACUGCAGGCAUCUCUCAAUAAUGCAGAGGUCAGCAUCAAGGAGUUACAUAAGCAGCUGGAAGAGGCCAUUCAGGAUGGAGAGAUCUGGGUGAUGCAGCUUAAGGAUACAGAGUAUGAGCUGGAGGGAAGCAGAGAUCGAGUUCAGCAUCAGGCAAAUGAAAUCCUUCACAAAGCCAGUCAGAUAGGCUCUCUUCAAGCGACCCAAAUGAGCCAUGAGGCCACCAUCAGGGACUUGGGCUCUGAGCAGAACCGACUAAAGGAGAAGAUCCUACAGUUAGAGGAAGAAAGAGAGAGACUUCAGAAACAGAUUCAAACACUGGAAGAACAGCAGCACCAGAAAAUCCUCAACCUGGAGAAGUCGCUUCGUGAGGAAAAACAGAACUACGAGAUGGAGCUGGUGCGGGUCAGAGCCAAAUACGAGGGGGAAACGGCUUGCCUGAAAGAAAGCCAGACAGAGGCCUUAGAGGAACUUAAGGAGAAACACAGAGUCCAACAGGAGAGCACACAUAAUUCUGCCGAGAGAGAGAAGAACCAAUUACUCAAUGAGAUGAGACAGCAGUUUGAGAUACGCCGUCUAUCGUUGGAAGAACAGAGAAACCACCUGCAACAGCAAUUGGAGACUAUACGAGAGGAACUGACUACCAAGCUCAAUAUGGCCAACCAAGAGGUGGCUCAUUUGAAGGAUCUGGUGAAGGAGAGUGAAGAAAAUCUGGAUAACGCUGAGAGCCAUAUCUCCUGUCUUAAAGAGAGCCAAGAAAAGCUUCUCAUAGAGUUGGACGCAACCAGGGCAAGAGUGAGAGAGACAAGCAACCUGCUCACAGAUGUACAAGAGGAGAUAGAGACCCAGAAACAGCAGCACGAAGCCAGGGUCAUCACCAUCAAAACGGAGGAGAAACAGAAAAUGGACAAAAUCACAGAGGAGCUGGACCUCAAGUGGACAGAUGCUCUAAGGGCUGAGCUGAAAUGUUUGCGGAAAGAGCUGAUGGCUGAGUAUCAGGCAGAAAAGCAGGUAGCCUUGACGCAACUUUCCCAGCAGAGAGACCUUGAGCUGAUGGCAGCCAGAGAAAGCUGGCAGAGAAAGGUCGAGGACCUCGUGGAACAGAUUUCUCUGUUGAAGCAGAGCCUGGAGCUGCAAAUGUCGCAGUCGAAGAGCACACUGCAGCAGUUGCAGGCGCAGUUCAGUCAGGAGCGCGAGCACCUGGUGCAGCAGCUGCAGGAACUGGUGCUGGAGCAUCAGCACAGAGAGUGCCGCCUGCAGGAUGCCCACUGCUGUUCCUUGCAGGAUAUGGAAGAUGCACAACAGAUGGAGCUUAGGGAGCUCGAGGAUCGUCUAAAACAGGAACAGAGAGAGGAGAUACACGCUUUGCGAGAAGCUCACAGACAGACCCUGGAAAUCCUGCAGCAGCAGUCGGACCAGGAGCUGCAGACGCUGCGCUUUGAACUGGAGGAUGAAGGCAAAGCCAUGCUGGCUUCACUGCGCUCUGAGCUCAAUCAUCUUCACGCCACUGCCAUAGAACACCUGAGACAACUCCACUUGAAGGAGAACAAUGCUGCCAAACGAGAGCUGGACAUCACUAUUGAGCGCUGCAAACAACACGAGCAUGACCUCCUAAACCGUUUAUCAGAUCUGCAACAGGAAGUGAACUGCAGGAAGAACCGGAUCACUGAUCUGGACCAUGAAAUCCACUCUCUCAAUGAGACCAUCGGCACUCUGACAAAGGAGCUGGAACUUAAAGGGAAGGAAGUUCUGCGUGUCCGUAGUGAAGCCAACCUGCAGAUCAGGUCUCGUGAACAGGAUCUCUCAAAACGAUUGGAGAAGGAGAUUGAAGAACUGAAUGCAUCUCAUAACAGAGAGACCCAGAUCAUGCUGUCAGAUUUUAACAAAGCUCAGGAGCUGCUAAAAGACAAGAUCUCUGCUCUGCAGAUUCUGUUGGAAGGAACAGAAGAAAAGUUCCGAAAUAGAGAAAGCAGACCAGAGGACCUGCGGGUGAUCGCUGAUCUCAGAGAAAUGGUAUCUGAGAGAGAGACCCUGGUCAAGAAGCUAGUGGAUGACAAGAAGUUUUAUCAGCUGGAGUUGGUGAACCGGGAGCCUGGCUUCAACAAAGUGUUCAACACCAAUCCCAAUGUCGGGGUCAUAAACCCCCUUAUAAAGCAUAAGAGUAGAAAACCUGCAGACAGUUUCCCCAGCUCUCCAAACCUAAGUGUUGUGGUGCGGUGGAAGGAAUGGCGGGCAGGUCCAUUCCACCUGCUUACCUAGAGUCUGUCCCCAACUCCCCCAUUCACCACCAUGAGCUCAGGUGUAGCAAAACUCAAACCCCUCCGGCCCAGGCUGACCCCGUUCUGAGCCCUCGUGAGACUGAGGAUUCAACUGUAGCACCAAAAGAACAGCAACCACAAGAGCUAUUUUCACAGUACUUCUCCUUUUAAAUUUUUCAAGACACUCAACUGAAGAGCAUGUGAAACUGCAGUUUUCAAUAGUCCAUUCAUCUGUCUUUGAUAUAUUUCACUGUGAUUUUUAUUUUCCCUUUUGAUAUGAGCAUUUAUUCGAUAUAAAAUGAGAUGCACAUUCAUUUCAUAUACAAUAGAUAUGUCUUUUCUCUUGGCAGUUUUGAAAAUAAAUUGCACAAACACUUAAAUAUAUACUUGUAUUUUACUGUCUUGUUACAAGCAAUACAACAUCAACUGCAAAAAAAUAAAUCAAACGUUAGUUUCUAAGUUAUAUAUGUUUACUACUAGUAUAGUAAAAGGACUGUUUUUCUUUUAAGUGCUUUUUACACUUCAAAUGUGAAAUGUGUCAUUUUUUAAUGUUAAAAUACUUUCUUCUAUCCCAGCUUAAUAUACAAUUAAGGCAUUCGUAGGUUGAGUUCCCUUAAACUCGGUGGCGCUAUUAAAACAUUGCUAUGUUUGUUUGAGUAUCCUCAAGCAGCCCGACACAGCAACAUUGCCACAACCAAUUGCAUGAGUUUGGGGCAAGACUAUUUAUUUGAUUGACCAAUGAAAAAUGGGGGAGUGUUUGGUAUUCUUGCUUGAAAACUAGGGAUGGAAAUUGUAAGGAAUUUAACAAAUCCGGUUGCAAUUCAAAGGCCUUUUAAUGAUUCCGGUUUCUUAACAACUUAAUUACUGAAUUUUUAAGUAAUUUUAAUUACUAUAUAUAUAGAUAUACACACUACCGGUCAAGGUUUUGAAACACUUGACUGAAAUUCUUCUCAUGAUCUUUUGAUCUGAAGGCUUAUGAUUAAAUGUUUGAAAUUAGUUUUGUUGACAAAAAUAUAAUUGUGCCACCAUAUGAAUUUAUUUCAUCAUAAAACUAAAAUUUUAUAAAUAAAAUAAAAAAAAGGAUUUUGAAAUGGAUGACUUGGACCAAAUAAUAAAGAAAAGCAGUGGUGCCCAAAAGUUUGGAAUAAUGUACAGUUUUUGCUGUUUCGGAAGGAAAUUGGUACUUAUAGUCGGGACAUUACUGAUGUAAAAAAACAGCACCAUCACUACUUGAAAAAAAGAUUUUUUUGUCAAAUCUAGACCUCCCCAUUUCCUGCAGCCAUCACUCCAACACAUUAUUGAGUAAGCCUGCUAAACUGAUACUAGAAAAUAAUUUACCAUUAUAUCAAACACAGAGUGGGCAAAGAAACACAGACACUGGACAACAGAUAAUUGAAAAAGAGUGUUUUGUAUUUUAACCCCAUUGAGUUUUUGUGGGAUCAGCUAGACUGUAACGUGUGAGAGAAGUGCCCGACAAGACAGCCACAUCUAUGGCAAAUUCUACAGAAAGUGUGGGGUGAAAUGUCACCUGUGUAUAUGGACAAACUGACAGUUAGAAUGCCAAGGAUCUGCAAAUGUCCUGGCUAUACAUUGUGAUCAGUUGAAUGCCACUUUGGUGAAUCAAAGUACCAAUUUCUUUCCAUAAGAGCAAAAUCUGUAAAUGAUUCCAAACUU